rnacentral:rRNA from 1 species
ACGGGCGGAACUUAAGCAUAUCAGUACGCCCCGGAGG